AUUAUGAAGCAGUAACUCUGGGACUGAGAAGGCUUGACUCUCACUCUGUCGUCCCAAACCUUAGGCUGGCCAAGAGUAGGAGAGGCAGCUGUCCAGUAGGUGCGCUCAGGGACACCAUGCAGCAAGCUCUCUGCCUUCUCAGAGCCUUCUCUGACACGAUGGGUGAAGGCUCUUCUGGAUGCUUCCCUUCAUGAUGCCCUUCUGUCUGGCACAUGAUGCAUUUGGAGUCCUUGGAGCCCAGCCUUGUCCUCAGGACGACUGGGGACUAUGGCCGUCCUAGGCCUGGCCCCUCUGACACAUUCUCCAAAAUUCCACGUUUCCACAGCUUCCUUAUUAUAACAUUAUUUAAUCUGAAAAACACUGAAAGCCGAUCAUUGCUGUUUUCUCCAGGGAAAGAACCAUUUCUUUGCUCUGCUAUCUGUUCUAUGUACAGACCAGUUUUCUCUAUUUACUUGUGGUGACAGCCGUUGCUAAUUAUUUACUGUGUCGAUCAGCUAUUGCUGCAUAACAAGAUAUCGCCAGACUCAGCGGUUCAAAAGAAAAAUAAACGUUUACUGUGACUCACA